rnacentral:rRNA from 1 species
UGGAUGAGCCCGCGGCCUAUCAGCUAGUUGGUGAGGUAACGGCUCACCAAGGCUUUGACGGGUAGCUGGUCUGAGAGGACGACCAGCCACACUGGGACUGAGACACGGCCCAGACACCUACGGGUGGCAGCAGUCGAGAAUUUUUGACAAUGGGGGAAACCCUGAUCGAGCGACGCCGCGUGGAGGAUGAAGGUCUUCGGAUUGUAAACUCCUGUCAUUGGGGAACAAGGUGCAUAUGUUAACUGCGUGUGUAUUGAUAGUACCCGAAGAGGAAGAGACGGCUAACUACGUGCCAGCAGCCGCGGCCG